AGUCAAGGGGAUAGCAAUAUCACCGGCGGACGGGUGCGUAACGCGUACACAACGUGCCCAAGGGCGGAGGAAAGCGGCGGGAAACUGCCGGUAAUACUCCAUGGCGUUGUUGAGUGGCAUCACUUAACAACUAAAGUACAAGCGCCCUUGGAUCGGUGUGCGUUCGAUUAGCUUGUUGGCGGGGUAACGGCCCACCAAGGCUACGAUCGAUAGGGGGUGUGAGAGCAUGACCCCCCACACGGGUACUGAGACACGGACCCGACUCCUACGGGAGGCAGCAGUAAGGAAUAUUGGACAAUGGGCGGAAGCCUGACCCAGCCAUGCCGCGUGAAGGAUGAAGGCGCUCAGCGUUGUAAACUUCUUUUGGAUGGGAACAAUAACCAAGACUUGUCUUGGCUUGAGGGUACCAUCAGAAUAAGCACCGGCUAACUCCGUGCCAGCAGCCGCGGUAAUACGGAGGGUGCAAGCGUUAUCCGGAAUCACUGGGUUUAAAGGGUGCGUAGGCGGUCUAAUAAGUCAGUCGUGAAAUCGCUGGGCUCAACCCAUGCAAUUGCGAUUGAUACUGUUGGACUUGAAUUAGGUUGAGGCUGGCGGAAUGCGACAUGUAGCGGUGAAAUGCUUAGAUAUGUCGCAGAACACCGAUUGCGAAGGCAGCCAGCUGGGCCUCGAUUGACGCUGAGGCACGAAAGCGUGGGGAGCA
rnacentral:rRNA from 1 species